AGCCAGUGAUGUUAGAGAAAUAUUUGCUACUCUUGAUGUAGAUAUGAUGUCACUUCUUCUCUGAGGCU